GUCAAAUGUUUACUUCAUGACAUGCAGACUUGUGGUUUGCACAGAUUUUCCUCUCCUCCGCGUACACUUAUCUGCAGCCCCACAAGCAAUUGUGGCCCGGCCUAUCUGUGCAGAAACCCAGUGGGUACGUUCUGAAGUGCGACAGUGUCCCAGGCACUGGGGUAUGUACAUUUUACCUCUCAGACUCAGGUACCAGGGCCUCGGUGUCACGACACUGGGCUGGUGCAUGUCCCAAGGCUUAGAUUCUCUAGCAUCCAAAUCCAUGUCAUAUGGACUAGGCCUGCUACAGGUCCCAAGACUUGUGAGGUCCACGGCAGAUACAAGUCUUACGCCCUCUGACAGUGCAGCCACCGGCUGCAACAAGUCGUAAGACCGUCUGGAAUCUGCCACAGGUGGACUCAAGUCCCAAGACCUUGUAGAUCCACUGCAGAUGCAAGUCUUAAGACCUCUGAGAGUGUGGCGCCCUGCUGCAACAAGUCUUAAGACCGUCUGGAAUCUGCCACAGGUGGUUGCAAGUCUCAAGACCUCUAGAUGCACGGCAGGUACAAGUCUUACGCCCUCUGAGAGUGCAGCCACCGGCUGCAACAAGUCGUAAGACCGUCUGGAACCUGCCAUAGGUGGAUCCAAGUCCCAAGACCUCUACAAUGUGCCAUGUCCUAAGACCUCUGUGUUUCUCAUAUGCUAGAGCUAAGUUCAAAGAUAUCUGACACUCAGCCCAGUGUGUGUACCAGUACCAGGUCCUGAAAUCUGAUUGGUAGGUAUGCUGCCCAGCACCAAGGCGUAUGCGUGAGUGUAGCACUGUGGCCGUCUGGCAGAUGAGCUGACCAUGCGGAGGAGAAGCAGGAAGUCCCCAGAUGGAGGAGCUAUGUUAUCGGGGGGGCCAGACUCGCCACUUCCCCUUCACUCCGCCCUUCGAUGCCGUCUCUCCCCCGCCCUUGGGGACCACCUCUCUGUCGCCCUUCCGUACCAUCUCUCCCCCCGCCCUUGGGGAUCACCUCUCUGUCGCCCUUCGGAACCAUCUCUCCCCCACCCUUGGGGACCACCAACGUUGCUCAGGUGCGGCGCUCGGGGAUUCGAACCAGCAACCUCUACCUCCUGAGGUGCGGUCUUAUCUCUUACGCCACAGUGUCCUUUGCAGUUUCUUCUAAUUUUUUCCUAAUACUUAAACAUUACUAUGGUCAAAAGCUGCGCAAACUGAAAGGAGAGGGAGGGGUUUGAACCCCGGACCUUGUUGUUGCAAGGCGAAAGCCAUUCCUGUAUGCCACACUGUCUUGUUGUUCUUGUCCUGUCUUUUCAGUAUUGAACUGAAUUUGUUGAGACAUCAGAAAUGGAAACACAAAAGGAAGAACUGGGGUUCGAACCCUCAAGCUCAUCGUUCAGAGUCCAUGACACUACCUUCACGCCACCAUCAUGUUCUGUCUUUUGCCAGAUGCAGCAGUAGAUAGAAUAUGACACUACAGAAAUGUAAGAGAAGUAAAGAGACAGGAAUGGAUUUGAACCCAGGAGCUUCGGGUUUAUAGGCAGGGACUUUAUCUUUGUGCCAAUGUCUCUGUAGUGUUUAGUUUCGCUCUGCAGUGGACUGAAGAAGAUGAGACCACAGACACUCAAAGUAAAGAUGAGGGUGCGGGGUUUGAACCCACAGCCUCUUGAUCCCGAGACGAUGACAAUACCAUUACGCCACUGCUGUCUUGGCUUUUUUUUUUUAGUGAUGUAGUAGACUGAUGAUGAUGAGCUGACAGAACCAUAAGAGAGAAGUAAAGAGGAGAUUUGAACCCUGUUGCCUUGCACUCGCAGACAAUGACGUUACCAUUGAGCCAACCACACUUUGAGGCUCGUUGGCUGAAUAUGAUAGAAUUUGAUGAUAAUGUUGAAACACAAGAGAAGUAAAGACAAUCGGUGGGGUUUGAACCCUUGACAUCUGGGUCUGUAGACCGACACCAUUCCGUUACGCCACAGCUGCCUUACAGUUCUGCUGUGGUGUAGAAGACAGAAGAUGAUGAGCUGACAGAGACACAAGCGAAAGAAAGAGAGGGGUUCAAACCCUCAACCUCUGGGUCCAGAGACGGUAACUCUACCAUUACGCCACGGCAACCUGGUUGCCACUGCAGGUUCCACACAUUCUUAAGCAACUUUAAUGACAACAUUCAACUACAGGAAUUUCCACAAAGUAAUUUUCUGUAGCAUUAUUGUUGUUCGUAAUUUUUUUUUUUUUUUUUUUUUUUUUUUUGGGGGGAAUCCAAUUUUUCAGCAGGACACAUCCAGAAGCACAACCGGUAAUGUAUACAAGCACUACAGAUUAAUAACCAUGCACAAGUGAUGACCCGGGAUUCGAACCUGGGACCUACUGAUUACAAAUCCAGUUCUUUAACCAUUACACUACAGAGACAGUAGACAAGAUACACCUCAGGGUGACUAUCUACUACACUCCCAUGACAGUGGGCUUAAUGCCUAUUACAUUACAUUACAUUACAUAGCAUUUAGCAGACGCUCUUAUCCAGAGCGACGUACAACGAAGUGCAAAUCGAACACAAGUACAAGUGCAAAGAGGACCAGUGAGAGGACAGAGAACAUUGAAUACCAGACGGGCUGCAGCAUUCUGGAUCAGUUGUAGGGGUCUGAUGGCAGAUGCUGGAAGGCCAGCCAGCAGAGAAUUGCAAUAGUCCAGGCGGGACAGGACCAUUGCUUGAACAAGGAACUGAGUGGAGUAGGUGGUGAGAAAGGGUGGAUUCUCUGGAUGUUGUACAGGAAGAACCUGCACACCCGGGUCACCGUAGCGAUGUUCUCGGAGAAGGACAGCCUGUUGUCCAUCACCACUCCAAGGUUUCUUGCACUAGGGGAUGAGGUCACUGUGGUAUCCCCUAGUGAGAUGGAAAAAUCAGAGGGGCUUAUGAGAGUGCUACUACACUGCUGCUACAGUGGGCUUAAUGCUUAUGAGAGUGAUGCAGUGCUACACUGCUGCUACAGUGGGCUUAAUGCUUAUGAGAGUGAUGCAGUACUACACUGCUGCUACAGAGGGCUUAAUGCUUAUGAGAGUGAUGCAGUGCUACACUGAUGCUACAGUGGGCUUAAUGCUUAUGAGAAUGAUGCAGUGCUACACUGCUGCUACAGUGGGCUUAAUGCUUAUGAGAGUGAUGCAGUGCUACACUGAUGCUACAGUGGGCUUAAUGCGUAUGAGAGUGAUGCAGU